rnacentral:rRNA from 1 species
AUUGAACGCUGGCGGCAGGCUUAACACAUGCAAGUCGAGCGGAUGAAGGGAGCUUGCUCCUGGAUUCAGCGGCGGACGGGUGAGUAAUGCCUAGGAAUCUGCCUGGUAGUGGGGGAUAACGUCCGGAAACGGGCGCUAAUACCGCAUACGUCCCGAGGGAGAAAGUGGGGGAUCUUCGGACCUCACGCUAUCAGAUGAGCCUAGGUCGGAUUAGCUAGUUGGUGGGGUAAAGGCCUACCAAGGCGACGAUCCGUAACUGGUCUGAGAGGAUGGUCAGUCACACUGGAGGUGGGACGGCGACCAUGCGCCUGCGGGACGGCCCAGUGUGGAACAGUAGGCAGUGGUGGGAAGCCUUAUCCAGUCGUCGCACGCGUGUUGAAAAGGUCCUGCGAGUGUAAUGCAGGUUAUGUUGUGGGAAAGGGCAGUAACUUAAUACCAUGCUUUUUUGACGUUACCAGCAGAAUAAGCACCGGCUAACUUCGUG